GGAUCGCCUCGAUCAGGCUGGCUGGCAGGGUGAACUUGCUGCUCUCCCAAUUGCCCGGCAGGUUUUGCGCGCCCUUCUCGAUGGACCCGUCCGCAUUGAUCGCACCGGGACACGAGACGCCGAUAAAGGGCGCCAGUUUCAGGCCCUCAUUCUCGGCCUCUUUCAGCAAUUCUUUCAGCAUUCCGGCCAGCUUUUUCACCGCUCCCUCACGGGUCGGCUCAUCAUCGGCGUGACGCCAGAGUUCGG
rnacentral:misc_RNA from 1 species